rnacentral:rRNA from 1 species
UUGGAAACGACUGCUAAUACCGCAUAAUGUCUACGGACCAAAGGGGGCUUCGGCUCUCGCCUUUAGAUUGGCCCAAGUGGGAUUAGCUAGUUGGUGAGGUAAUGGCUCACCAAGGCGACGAUCCCUAGCUGGUUUGAGAGGAUGAUCAGCCACACUGGGACUGAGACACGGCCCAGACUCCUACGGGAGGCAGCAGUGGGGAAUAUUGCACAAUGGGCGCAAGCCUGAUGCAGCCAUGCCGCGUGUGUGAAGAAGGCCUUCGGGUUGUAAAGCACUUUCAGUCAGGAGGAAAGGUUAAUAGUUAAUACCUGCUAGCUGUGACGUUACUGACAGAAGAAGCACCGGCUAACUCCGUGCCAGCAGCCGCGGUAAUACGGAGGGUGCGAGCGUUAAUCGGAAUUACUGGGCGUAAAGCGUACGCAGGCGGUUUGUUAAGCGAGAUGUGAAAGCCCCGGGCUCAACCUGGGAACUGCAUUUCGAACUGGCAAACUAGAGUGUGAUAGAGGGUGGUAGAAUUUCAGGUGUAGCGGUGAAAUGCGUAGAGAUCUGAAGGAAUACCGAUGGCGAAGGCAGCCACCUGGGUCAACACUGACGCUCAUGUACGAAAGCGUGGGGAGCAAACGGGAUUAGAUACCCCGGUAGUCCACGCCGUAAACGAUGUCUACUAGAAGCUCGGAGCCUCGGUUCUGUUUUUCAAAGCUAACGCAUUAAGUAGACCGCCUGGGGAGUACGGCCGCAAGGUUAAAACUCAAAUGAAUUGACGGGGGCCCGCACAAGCGGUGGAGCAUGUGGUUUAAUUCGAUGCAACGCGAAGAACCUUACCUACACUUGACAUACAGAGAAACUUACCAGAGAUGGUUUGGUGCCUUCGGGAAACUCUGAUACAGUGCUGCAUGGCUGUCGUCAGCUCGUGUUGGUGAGAUGUUGGUUUAAGUCCCGCAACGAGCGCAACCCCUAAUCCUUAGC